UACGAAGGGGGCUAGCGUUGUUCGGAAUUACUGGGCGUAAAGCGCGCGUAGGCGGAUAUUUAAGUCAGGGGUGAAAUCCCGGGGCUCAACCCUGGAACUGCGUUUGAAACUGGAAGGCUAGAGUGUGGCAGAGGGGGGUGGAAUUCCACGUGUAGCAGUGAAAUGCGUAGAUAUGUGGAGGAACACCGAUGGCGAAGGCAGCCCCCUGGGCUAACACUGACGCUCAUGCACGAAAGCGUGGGGAGCAAACAGG
rnacentral:rRNA from 1 species